UAACCUCAUUGUGCGAACGCGGGGAUCUUUGAUCCGUGAGGAAAGUCCGAGCAUCAUAGAGCGGGAUAACUGCUAACGGCAGCCGAGGGCGACCUUAGGGCAAGUGCAACAGAGAUAUACCGCUUUUGGGAGCUUGCUCCCGAAAGUAAGGGUGGAAAGGCGAGGUAAGAGCUCACCGGAGCAUAGGCAACUAUGCUGCCAUGUAAACCCUAUCCGAUGCAACGCCGAUUGGUACGGAGAGAAAUGCGUCUGCUCGGCGUACUCCGAUAUAGGCGGCUUGAUCCUGCGGGCGACCGCAGGAGUAGAUAAAUGUUCGUACACGACAGAACUCGGCUUAUAGAUGAGGUUAUUGU
rnacentral:RNase_P_RNA from 1 species